GCAGCUGUAGUAUAGUGGUUAGCACGGCUCGUUGUGGAUGCCGCCCGAUUGGGCAAUUCUCGAACCGAGCAGACGGAUGUUCGAUUCCUCCCAGCUGCA
rnacentral:tRNA from 1 species